ACAGGCUCCAGGCUCUGAGCCAUCAGCCCAGAGCCUGACGCGGGGCUCGAACUCACGGACCGCGAGAUCGUGACCUGGCUGAAGUCGGACACUCAACCGACUGCGCCACCCAGGCGCCCCUUGAACCCCUUCUAAAGCACUAAAUAUUUACCCCUUUCUCCCCCAUGUUUUAGGCACGUGGGGUCAUGCUUUCCAUCCUUUGAUCUUGUGAAUCCCUUGAACGAUUUUUAUAGGUAUCGCUAAUUUUACUGCCUUUGUGCUUCCUUGGUUUCCUACUCCUGUGCGUCGGUCCUCUGCGACAGGGAACUUGCCCCCGCCCCCGGGACUAAGGCCAGCCGGGUUGGAGGGGGAGGAUCCUCAAAGUGCGCGAGCUGGGGGAGAUGUGGUCUUAGGAAGGUUUGCGCUGGUCUCCUGGGGAAGGGGACUCAGCGCAGGACUGAGGCAGUGGCAUACCGCAGAAGCAAGUUCCUUCGGUAGUAAAUGUCCCUACACUGGUUCCUAUAGGUGGCCUUGGGUUUAUGCUGGAAGGCGGGGGAGGCAGCUCCUUUGUUCCUGGAGGAGUCUCCCUAGGAUCUCUGUCCCUCCAGACAUGCUCGGAGAUUAGUAAAUAACUCUCCCUCCCAGGCAUUUUUCAAAAUCCUGCUUUGAUGUUGUAUCUGCACAGGCUGUCUUUUGUCCUGUUUCUUUAAGGGACUCGGUUUCCUUUUGGCCUCUGGUUCUCCCAGAGCUGAGCCUGCUGAUUUUUAAAAUUCUAGGUUUUUGAGUUCCUCAGGUUGUUAAGAACUCAUGUAAUUUGGCCCCUCCGGUUUUCAAAGCCAGAUGUUGCGGGGGUUUGUCCCCGCUGUGAGUGCUCCCCAGUGUGACAGUCUUUUUCUCCCCCUUCCCACCCUCUUUGAUGUGGCCUCUUUACUUUUAGCUGUAGAGGUUGUUGUGCCAGUCUUCGGGCCACUUUCUGGGUUAUUUACACAGAUGUGAGUGUCACCUAGUUGUAUCUGUGGGUGAGGCAAGCUUCCCAGCCUCUUUCCUAAAUACGGUGUUUCAUUUCUGCUUAACAGAACAUCUCAAUUUGGACCAGUCACAUUUUAAGUGCUACCCUGUCAUUGGUUGCUACUGUAGACGGUACAGAUCUAGGAAUUUAGCUUCUCAUGUAAUUUUUCUACCCAGGCAGAGGAUUUCCUGGGCCCACUGCCAUCCGUAUAUGGCUCUUUGAAAGCUAUACCUAGCUGUUACUGUAAAGAAAGAAACUGGCCUUUGGGAGUUUUGUACAUCAGACUUUUGUGCGUUUGGUUAGUGGGAGUCGGUACCUUUGGCCAAUCAGCUUGGAGUACUCGCAGGACCUAAUUCUUUGUGUUAUGCCUACAAGCCAGAGGUCUUUUCUCUCCCCGCCCCCCCAAGUUCAUUUGUUUUGAGAGAGAGGAGCAGGGACAGAGGGAAAGAGAGAGAGAAUCCCAAGCAGUGUGGAGCCUGAUGCUGGGCUCGAGCCCACGAACUGUGAGCCAGAUGUCUUACUGUGGUGAAUCCCCAAGACAGUUCCUCUCUCUGGGAACGUGGCUGUGGCAAACUGACGUCCCUUAGGCGGCUCCCCUACCUUCCUCCACCUCUUCUGCGCUUUCAGCCCCUCCGCUCCUCGGGCUUAGCGUACUGUGCCUCUCAGUUCAGCUGAUACUUUUUGGGUAGCCUUCCGGCUUCCCAUCCAGCCAGUCGUGAAUGGUUACAAGUUUCUCUACCAUAUGAGUAUUGACUUAAUGAUUUAAAACGUUACCCCCCUCCUAACUUUGGGGCCCAGUCUGAGCCUGUCGGGUGUGCUGGGUAGCAUGAGUGGCCCUCUGUCCUCCUGAACCACUCCCAGGACUUUAGAGUGACUGUGUCCCAGAGAAGGGGACGGCAAGAAGGGGAACCUCAGAAUCUCCUGCCAGGUGAGCCGGUCUACAGAGCCCGUCUUGCCGUCCCAGCAGCGUCCUGGUGGGGAGCCAGGAGCUGAGCAGAUGCGCACUGUGUGACGGGGCCCUCCCCGGCCAGCCCCUCCCCCGGGCCAUCAGGUCGCUCCCCUUUCUGAACUCUGUCGCCGUCCCCUCGCCCCCUGAUCUCACCGCCUUCUUCUUCUACCUACUUGUCUUAACACUGUGCUUCACAGACGGCUCAUCCCAAGGAUCACCUGGCUGCUGCUUGAGGAUACAGGCGACCAGGCCAGUCUGGGGGCCUGUCCUAAUGAGACUGGGUUUAGAGGACAGCGUUUUAGAGGGUCUGCUCUCGGGCGCCUGGGGGGCUCAGUCGGUUGAGUGUCUGACUCUUGACUUCGGCUCAGGUCGUGAUCUCAUGGUUCGUGGGUUCGAGCCCCGCACAGUGCUCUGCACUGACAGUGUGGAGCCUGCUUGGGAUUCUCUAUCUCCCUCUUUCUCUCUGCCCUUCUCCCGUUCUCUCUCUCAAAAUAAACAAACUUAAAAAAAUUUUAAAAAAGUGUUCUCCAGCUCACAGAGGGACCAGGAGGAAAAGGCCACAAAUGCACAGCUGUCCUGACUGCUUGUGGGUCAGUGCUCUGUCACCGCCUUCUGAAACUCACCAUACCCCCCUUACUCGCCUGCAUGGACCCUCUGCUCCGGCCAAAGCAGGCACACUCGGGGAUUCACCCAACCCCAGUCACGGCUUUCGGAAGAAACACGACUGAAUGGAUUGGAAGAUGGAUGGGUAAGUACACUGCACAAAUUGCACGGAUUUGAUAAGCUAAGGCUACAGCAAAGCUCCUGGAGGUAAUUACCAAGAGAGACCUGUGUACCACAGUCACGGACCUGCGUAAUGUGACAGGCAAAGGCCUUGCUCACAUUCGAGACCGUUCUAUGAAACUCUGUGUUUCACUUGAUCACAAGCUGGCACGUAAUUUGGAAACAUGACCAAAUACGGUCUUCGACACGCCUUUCUGUCCUUUCUCCUGGUUUCCCUCCAUCUAAACCGGCCGGCAGGGGUGGGGAGAAGGAAAUGAACAGAUAAAAAAAAAACAAAACCCACUAACGUAGAUUUUGCAGGCUGUCUCAUAGUUUCUAUGUGACUACUUGUGACAAGACGCAUGGCUGUUGUAACCGUGGCUGUGUGACUCCAAGAGCCGCGCCCCAGGCCGCGGGUCACACCGCGGACCUCCGGGCCCGGCCGAGCAUUCGCUGCUAGCUUCUCUUCCGUCUGAAAGUGCCAGUGUAAACGGACCGCAGUCCCCUUCCUCAGCUCCCGAACGGCAGCGUGCCCUCCCAUUCAGCUGUCAUCGAGGUGCACGGUCCGUCGGGGUCCACGCCCAGGUCCCUGAACAGUUCUCUGCUGGUACGUAAACUUGCUUGAGUCACUGGGGGCAGAAACAGCAGACUCUUUCGUUGCUCAAGAGGUAGGAAGAGCCUGUGCGAUUACCUUGGAUCUCUCAAUCCAACCUUGACGUUGUCAAAGGUGAACAUUCUCCCCUUUCCCCCGAUGGGGCCAUAAUAGUCAUCAGCUGAUACUCUGGGGGGACUUACUACACGCCAGGGAUGGUUCUAAACAUUCUAUGUGGAUCAGCUUACUUAGUCCUUCCCCAAAGCCUUAUGAAGCAGGACCAUUACGCCUGUUCUACGGGCGAAGAAGCCGAGACACAGUGAGAUGUAAGUCACUUCGCUAGGGCCACACGGCAAAGAAGCACAGGGGCUGGGAGGCGACCCCAGGACCGUCUAGUUCUAGAACCUUUUUUUUUUUUUUUUUUUUAACGUUGAUUUAUUUUGAGAGAGAGAGAGAAUCCCAAGCAGGCUGCACACUGUCAGCACAGGGCCUGACGCGGGGCUCGAACUCACACACUGAGCUGAGGUCAAGAGUCGGACGCUCAGCCGACAGAGCCGCCCAGGUGCCCCUAGAACCUGUGCUUUUAUUCAGCGCUACUUUGACCCCCAUGGAAGCAACUUAUCCUAUGUCAGUAGAAGGCACCGGGCCGGGGAGACCCUCUCCUUGCUCCUUGGAGUGUGGUCUCCUGGGGGGGCUCCGAGCCAGCCCGGCUCAUUCCACCCUCAUAGCUGCAUGCUUUCGGAGCCUUGCGUCUUGACCUCCCUGCAGCCCAGCCAGACCCUGGCGUCUGGAAGCCGCACCUCCCCGGGCACUCAGAUCGCUCUAGGACGGCUCUCCGGCGCCCCGGUCCGCGGGAGCCCCCUCUCCCCAGGGGGUCCGGCCGUGUCCUCUGGCGGUGCCCCUUCCCACCAAGACCUCACCCACCGUACCUUUAACCCGAGGUCCAGCUCCCUCAGCGAGCGCCGGAUCUCUCUGGUGAGGAUGUUCAUCCGCUCACACUCCUGGAAGGCAACGACGACGUAGGGGCUGUGCUCCUCCACUCUGGCCAUCAGCUCCGGCAUGUUGAACUCGUCUGUCACUCGCUCCAGUAUUUCUUCCAGGAGGACCUUGACCUGGCCCGUAACAGGAAACACAGGGUGAAGAAGGGGCUCUAACUCUCCAGGACUCCAUUCCCCUGCGAUACGGCGGUCAAGAUGCCCGUCAGCCAUCCCCCGCCAUACUCUCACAUUGUCUACUCCCUUCAGAGUUUCCAUGAGGCCGCCCUGCAGUUUCUGUCCUUGGGUCCUGGAAGAAGCAUCCCCAUCCAACACGUGAACCUCCUCCCCAGCCCCACGCUUCCUUUGACCACACAAGCCAUCAGCUAAUUAGACCACGGGAGCCAGAACCACCAGGGUGUCUCUCCUGGAAAGUUGGAAAUGAAGCACUCAGAUCCUGGGUUGUUUGGGGGCAAGCGCUUGGAGGCUGAGUCUGCCAUUUUGAAGUAAAUGAAUAAGCCCAGGAGGUCUGUCAGCAGAGAAAGAAAAACGGAACAAGUACAGUCAUAAUAGAACAUGUAGCCAGCGGAGAGGGAGGGAGGGAGGGAGGGGGCCAGAGAGCCGGGCUCCUGGCACACUGUUCUGCCCAUUGUCCCCCCUCUUCUGUAACAGGUCCCCGUCUCCACCUGGGAAAUCCCCUCCUCCCCACUGUUUUGGGGCACAGUCACAGAGCCCGAUCCUCCCAUGAUCUAAGCAGGCCAACCAGAUUAUCACUCCCAGGAGCACAAAAAUUUGCAUCUCUGGCCCAAGAUUCAGGGGCAGAAAGUGGCUAGAGCCACUGGGACAUCUGUCCUUCCUUCGGUCAGUUCCUUUUGACAGAGUGGGCUAUUUCUUGCCCCGUUUCGGCAAAAUUAGUCUCUGUUGCUUACAACCAAAGAGCCUCGGCUGAGUUAAUACCGUUCCGCUACGCAUUACCCACGCGAGUGCAAGCAAGCCAUCUAGGUCUCCAUCUUUUUAUCUAUAAAAAUUUCCAAGAGCGUCUUUCUCCACCUCCCCCCCCCAACUCCCAGGGGCUGAUGCAGAGAUCAAAUUGAGCGAACUGAUGCAUGUGGCAGCAUCUGAAAGCUAUACAGACCUACAGAAAGGGUUAUUAAUAUUCACUCUGCCUUGUAUUGUUAGCACACGAUACAUUCUCUAGGAAAAGAGCUGAUGUCUGAAAAGGGAAAGUAAAACCUUAUCUCCCGGUCACAAAGGGGUCUCUGGUGCUGUCACAGCAAAAACCAGAACAGAAUUUUUCCAGUACCUGAGAGCCGUUGCCACGGGUAGAAGACAGAUGGCUAAAAUUACAUCCUAUUUCUAUCGCCGGCGCCGAACUUGAAGAAACAGCCCUAUGUCGGACAUCACGCACAAAGAGAUGAAAAGAUAGGCUGCAGGCGCUGUCCCCAAAAUACACCGGACACGGAGAAAGAGACUUCUCCCGUGUCCUGAUCCGUCCGAGCAGGAUCCGGAGGCCAGGCCUGAGGACGAGCAGGAUUGCUAGGGAAGGGAGCAGGUGCACAGACACGGAGAAGCCCGCGGGCCCCUCCGUGGGAGGAGAGGGUUGCAAGGGAUGUGGUCUGAUUGUUUCCACAAGCGAACGUCUCUGCCUUUUUGUUGUCCUUUUUGAGCAAUCUGUUUCCCAUAAAAAUCUAAGCGUUACAGAUAUUCAUUACAAACAAAACCCUCUCACAAUUCUUCCCUCGGCUGGGGGGGGGGGGGAGGAUCAUUGUUAACUGUUACUUUAUGAUUCCUGCAGAUGUCCUUGAUGCAUAUAACCAUCCAUCCAUUAUCCCCCCACGCAUCAGUUUUGUCUGUCUGUCCUGUCUUCACUCCUCGCUCCCUCCUUUCUUUCCAUCUAUCACCAAGGGAGUCCUGUCAUGCUUGCUUUUCGUCUUAUAAUAAAUCCUGCACACGCUACCUUGUUAAUAUAUAUGGACUUGCCUUAUUUUUUGUAGCUGUAUAUAUACUGUUACAUAUAUAAUAAAUAGUAUAUAGUAGAUAUUAUUUUGCUGUUUGGGAUGGAUAUCUGGCUGCUUAUCAUUUGUACGACUGCGGUCAAUCCUGUAAUAAACAAACAUACCACGAAA